GAUGUUCCAUCUCGAUAGCCGUGCUGGUUAAACAGAAGGUUCAAGAACCAAACCAGUUCCGUUGCUUCGAAGUGGUGGCAGCGCUCUUCGCUCGCUCCGCUACCGUCUCCGUCAUCCCUUCUUGGAUGUCCUCCUGAGGCGAAGAAUCGAAAGCCGACCCAAAAGAGAAGGUUCCGGAACCAGACCCGCUCCGUAUUGCUCUCUAGUGAUGGCAGAGCUCUUCGCUCGUUCGCUCGCUCGCUCGCUCCUCUACCAUCUCCGUGACCCCUUCUUGGAGGCCCUCCUCAGGAAGGUUCUCGAAGGACUACGGAGAGUCGGCUGAGAUGAAGACGACAAUGGUUUAUUUAUUUCAGAUGAAGAAAAUUAUUCUCAAUUUCUCAUGUCGAGGUAAUUUCGAUGUCUUUUAGCAAGAAACCUGCAACUUCAGUUUUAUUAGUUGUUAGCCUUUUUUUAUUUAUGAAUUCGAUCGGUCAAAUAAGCAUUUAAUGGCUUUGUUGGAGCUGAGUUCUUUUAAUGGGCUUCAAAAGAACAACAGUGACAUUUUAGUUUCCAGAAUUCAUGUGCGGAAAAAAAAAAUUCAAUGCCUAAUAAUUCAAGAAACAAUUAUACUCGACGAAAUUUAAGUAGGUACAGAAAUCCAAUAAAGAACUUUCUUUAGUGUUCACUUAUCAACGUAUAAGUUUGAAUUUCCUUUUUUUUUUUUUGCAAUUAUGAGAUUUCAAAAACUCCAAUUGAUUAUCGGUUCUUAUAUAUUAAAACUGGUUCUAAUUUUAUUUAUUUAUUUCAUGCUUGUUUAGUCUAUAGGACUAUAUUUGGUUUGGCUGAAAGGAUCUUUUAACGUCAUCAACAUUACCAUCUAGGAUGAAGUUUUCUUAGCCUUGGUUUUUUUGGCACUCUUAGUUCUGCUCUCACGUAGCGAAGUGCAUACGACUGAUACAUCUUGGUUGACAUCAACGUGCACUGUUUUGGAAAGACACUUUUGCUUAUUGAUCAUCUAUGAUUCUUCCAUUUGGACCCUGUAUCUUGCUCUUGUUCCAGUUAUAGUAUGCACAUUGUAAUGCUUCAUAGCAUGCGCUACUUCCCUCCAGGGUAAAGAUAGUGGCGGAUAUUCAAUUAGUCACACGGUAGAAUCAAAGUUUCA